rnacentral:rRNA from 1 species
UACGUAGGGGGCAAGCGUUGUCCGGAAUCAUUGGGCGUAAAGCGCGUGUAGGCGGCCUUGUAAGUCCGUUCUGAAAGCCCGGGGCUCAACCCCGGGAGGCGGAUGGAUACUGCAAGGCUCGAGUACGGAAGAGGCGAGUGGAAUUCCCGGUGUAGCGGUGAAAUGCGCAGAUAUCCGGAGGAACACCAGUGGCGAAGGCGACUUUCUGGCCUGUUCUUGACGCUGAGGCGCGAAAGCUAGGGGAGCAAACGGG